rnacentral:rRNA from 1 species
GGGAAGGAUCGACCAGCCGGUCGAGUUGAUCCUUCCGCGUAACACUUGCUCGAAGCCUUAGCAGCCCGAAAGGGUGCAGCCCCGACGACUCUAAUCACCAGGAGGGCUGCUUAAAUGCUAGUCUGCGUCCAGCAGGCGACACUAUCAAAUUGCGGGAACACCCUAAAGACCUCACCACCAAGCGCUCGCGGGAAACCGCGGCGUGGCCGAGCUAAUAGCCCUGGGUAUGGUAACAGCGUGAGGUAUGACGCCCCGGUAUCGGGGCUGAAAUGGGCAAUCCGCAGCCAAGUCCUACAGCGCUCCCUCUCGAGCGCCAUGGAUGCUGUUCACAGGCCAAAUGGUAGUGGGUGACUCCCUGUCGGAGUUGCUUAAGAUAUGGUCGGGCCCCUCCAGAAAUGGCGGGGGUAAAGAGUACGCUCCAACCGUUCCGUAGGUGAACCUGCGGAAGGAUCAUUACAAGAAGGGGUGCUGACGGCUCUCUCGGGCGCCGUCAGUCCGCUCUCUACCUUGCCUACUGCACCGUUUGUUGCUUCCUGGCGGCGGCCUCUUGCCGCCAGGAACCCAAUCAAAUCCUGUAUAAGCAUUGAGAAACUGAACAAAACCAAAUCGUACAACUUUCAACAAUGGAUCUCUUGGUUCUGGCAUCGAUGAAGAACGCAGCGAAAUGCGAUAAGUAGUGUGAAUUGCAGAAUUCAGUGAAUCAUCGAAUCUUUGAACGCACAUUGCGCCCCUCGGUAUUCCGUGGGGCAUGCCUGUUCGAGCGUCAUCCAAACCCUCAAGCCCUCCGGUGUUGCCCUGGCUCUGGCCGGGGCUGCGCCAGGCUUGGUGUUGGGCGUCUGUCCCCGCUGCGGCGCGGACUCGCCCCGAAUGCAUUGGCAGCGGCCGCCUGGCUCCUCGCGCAAGCACAGCGCGCAAAGGGGCGAGGGUCGGCGCGCGUUCCAGCAAGCCACAUCACCAGUUUGACCUCGGAUCAGGUAGGGAUACCCGC